rnacentral:rRNA from 2 species
UAAUACAUGCAAGUCGAGCGAAUCGAUGGGAGCUUGCUCCCUGAGAUUAGCGGCGGACGGGUGAGUAACACGUGGGCAACCUGCCUAUAAGACUGGGAUAACUUCGGGAAACCGGAGCUAAUACCGGAUACGUUCUUUUCUCGCAUGAGAGAAGAUGGAAAGACGGUUUACGCUGUCACUUAUAGAUGGGCCCGCGGCGCAUUAGCUAGUUGGUGAGGUAAUGGCUCACCAAGGCGACGAUGCGUAGCCGACCUGAGAGGGUGAUCGGCCACACUGGGACUGAGACACGGCCCAGACUCCUACGGGAGGCAGCAGUAGGGAAUCUUCCGCAAUGGACGAAAGUCUGACGGAGCAACGCCGCGUGAACGAAGAAGGCCUUCGGGUCGUAAAGUUCUGUUGUUAGGGAAGAACAAGUACCAGAGAACUGCUG